rnacentral:rRNA from 1 species
GACAGAGGGUGCAAGCGUUGUUCGGAAUCAUUGGGCGUAAAGGGCGCGUAGGCGGUUCUGCAAGUCGAAUGUGAAAGCCCAGGGCUCAACCUUGGAAGUGCAUCCGAAACUGCAGAACUCGAGUCUCGGAGAGGGUGGUGGAAUUCCCAGUGUAGAGGUGAAAUUCGUAGAUAUUGGGAGGAACACCGGUGGCGAAGGCGACCGGCC